UGAUAUGGUUUUAUGUAACAUUUAAGGAGGGAGUCUCCAGCUGUAAAGCUGGUGCUUUAUCAAUAUUUCUUUAGGAGUUUCAGAGGAGUUUACACUUUUUAUUUUCUCAGAAACCUAUGACCUAAAACAGAGGCUGGUAUCCACCAUGACCCUGACCAGGAUAACGCUCUCCUUACUGAAGCCUGGCUGUGAUGACACCACAGAGAUGAGCGCGACGAUCGGACCGCAUGCGAGAGCCGACACCAACCAGACAAAGAUCGAGGGAUACAAUGGAUAGAAAAACUCUACACACUCUCCUACAACAGCAG